AACGAACGCUGGCGGCAUGCCUAACACAUGCAAGUCGAACGAGACCUUCGGGUCUAGUGGCGCACGGGUGCGUAACGCGUGGGAACCUGCCCUUAGGCUCGGAAUAACUCCCCGACAGGGGUGCUAAUACCGGAUAAUGUCCUCGGACCAAAGAUUCAUCGUCCUUGGAUGGGCCCGCGUUGGAUUAGCUAGUUGGUAGGGUAAAAGCCUACCAAGGCGACGAUCCAUAGCUGGUCUGAGAGGAUGAUCAGCCACACUGAGACUGGGACACGGCCCAGACUCCUACGGGAAGCAGCAGUGGGGAAUAUAGGACAAUGGGCGAAAGCCUGAUCCAGCAAUGCCGCGUGAGUGAUGAAGGCGUUAGAGUUGUAAAGCUCUUUUACCCGGGAUGAUAAUGACAGUACCGGGAGAAUAAGCUCCGGCUAACUCCGUG
rnacentral:rRNA from 1 species